UUGAUCAAGAUGGAGAAGCAGGGCACGUGCAUUACUAACUCAUGAGCAAGAAUUGUCGGUGCUCCGUUCGAAAAACAUUCUAGGCAAUUCAUCUGCUAUCAUUGUACUGUACUUCCCAGCAUAGUGGGGCAUACUCGUUGAACUGUACAUGUAUGUGGUAAAUGAUGAGUUGGUUAUUCAUGUGCCUGUCUUCCCCAUCAUGACCAC
rnacentral:pre_miRNA from 1 species